GAUACAGACACACACCUCACCUUGAAGACGUCCCCCCCAGCAGACACUAACUGGGCGAGCGAGGAGGACGACCACGUGGUGGCCAGAGGAGAAUAUGACUUGACAGCUGCUUCUCAGGAGGAGCUUUCUAUGCGAGCUGGAGAGAUGCUCAACCUCGCUCCUAAAGAGCUACAGCCCCGUGUGCGUGGCUGGCUCCUGGCCAGUGUGGACGGUGAGACCACAUGCUCGUCCCAGCCAACUACGUUAAGAUCCUCAGCAAGAGAAGAGACCGCCGGGCCACAGAUAUGAGAGGCUCGCUCAGGCCCAGCAGGCAAACACGCAGGCACCCCAAACAACCUCGUCUGCACAAAUACCCUAAUCUGUGCCUCUCCUGCAGCCCAUAAACGUACAGCAUCUACCCACAUCAUGUACAGUACUUGAAUGAUCCAUCUCGUCUUUCAGCUCAGUCUCGUCAGAUUCAUUAGGCUCAGCUGUGUCCCCCUCCUGUGUGCAGUUUCCUCGUUUCCCUCUGUGUGUAUUUAUAGUAGUGAUGGCCAAACAAAGCUUUCUGAAGCAUUGAAGCUUGUGUUGAAAAACGAUUCAUUACUGGAAGCUUUUUAACACAGUCCUCUCUGGUGACAUCUGGUGGUCAAAAAUAUGAAGAGCAGCUUGAAUCUACAAAAAAACUGAACUGCUUCAUUAUGAUUGCCCACUCUACACAGUGGAAUUCACAAUUCACAAUUGGACAUCACUGAUCACGUGACUGUGGCCAAACGAAUCAAGCAUCGACAGAGUGCUUCUGAAGCGGUGUGUUGGUGUUUUUUGACACACGCGCCGGAGCGUCAGCUUCAAGCGGGCCCUCACUAAUUUAUAGCAUUUGUCCUCUUGUGUGUGUUACUGGUCCGUCUGUGCUCCUCCAUGCUGUUUUUCCUGCUUG